ensembl:lncRNA
CACAGCAUAGUCCUUUAGUCUCUAUGGACCAGGUGGCCAGUUGGUGAGGGCCACAGCAUAGUCCUUUAGUCUCUAUGGACCAGGUGGUCAGUUGGUGAGGGCCACAGCAUAGUCCUUUAGUCUCUAUGGACCAGAAGGCCAGUUGGUGAGAGCCACAGCAUGGUCCUUUAGUCUCUAUGGACCAGGUGGUCAGUUGGUGAGGGCCACAGCAUAGUCCUUUAGUCUCUAUGGACCAGGUGGCCAGUUGGUGAGAGCCACAGCAUGGUCCUUUGGUCUCUAUGGACCAGGUGGCCAGUUGGUGAGAGCCACAGCAUAGUCCUUUAGUCUCUAUGGGCCAGGUGGUCAGUUGGUGAGAGCCACAGCAUAGUCCUUUAGUCUCUAUGGACCAGAUGGCCAGUUGGUGAGGGCCACAGCAUAGUCCUUUAGUCUCUAUGGACCAGGUGGCCAGUUGGUGAGGGCCACAGCAUAGUCCUUUAGUCUCUAUGGACCAGAUGGCCAGUUGGUGAGAGCCACAGCAUAGUCCUUUAGUCUCUAUGGACCAGAUGACCAGUUGGUGAGGGCCACAGCAUAGUCCUUUAGUCUCUAUGGACCAGGUGGCCAGUUGGUGAGGGCCACAGCAUAGUCCUUUAGUCUCUAUGGGCCAGGUGCCAGUUGGUGAGGGCCACAGCAUAGUCCUUUAGUCUCUAUGGGGCAGAUGGUCAGUUGGUGAGGGCCACAGCAUAGUCCUUUAGUCUCUAUGGGCCAGGUGCCAGUUGGUGAGGGCCACAACAUGGGGAAAGAAACUGUUCAUAUGGGGGUCUAUAACAUCUAAUCACAGCAUCUGACAGUUGCAACUUCAUUGCUAAUAACUGCCUUAUUUAUAUAAAGACAUCAUCUCUGUACAGAUGUAAGAUCUGAAUUUGAUCAACCUGUCACAGGAAAACUAAAAUGUGUACUAUAUUUGAGUGUAUUUAAAUAAAGCUUUAAAAAAGGUUUCUGAAGAUGAUAAAUUACACUUUUCCAUUUUAAAAUGGUUCAUUAAUUA